rnacentral:rRNA from 1 species
GGUUCGAUCUGUCGAUUGAACGCUGGCGGGAUGCUUUACACAUGCAAGUCGAACAGCAUGCACGGACUUCAGUCACCGUGGCGAGAGUGGCGAACUGGGUGAGUAAUGUAUCGGAACGUGCCUAGUAGCGGGGGGAUAACUACGCGAAAGCGUAGCUAUUACCGCAUACGCCCUUCGAAGGGAAAGCGGGGGACCUUCCGGGCCUCGCACUAUUAGAAGCAGCCGAUAUCGGAUUAGCCUAGUUGGUGGGAGGUAACAGCGUCUUGGGCGUGAUCGCUGGCUGGUUUGGAAGGACGACCAGCCACACUGGGACUGAGACACGGCCCGAACUCCUACGGGAGGCAGCAGUGGGGGUACACCCCGGACAAUGGGAAACCUGAUCAGCCAUCCCGCGUAUGCGAUGAAGGCCUGUCGGUUAAACCCACUUUUGGCAGGAAAGAAACGGCGCGGAUAUCCCGUGCAACUGACAAUACCUGAAUAUGCAGCUAUACAUUACCCGGCAAUGCGGUAAUACGUAAGUGCAAAGCGUUAAUCGGAAUUACUGGGCGUAAAGCGUGCGCAGGCGGUUCCGGAAAGAAAAGAUGUGAAAUCCAAAACAACACUGAACUGCCAUUUUAACUACCGAGCUAGGAAUUAUUAUGCAGAGGGAGGUGGAAUUCCGCGUAGUGGAAAUGCGUAGAUAUGCGGGAGAACACCGAUGGCGAAGGCAGCCUCCUGGGAUAACACUGACGCUCAUGCGCAACCUUCGAGCAACAGGAUCGAACCCUGGUAGUCCCACGCCUAAGCAGUGUCAACGCUGGCUGUACGGGGCGUGGGCUGUGAUGCUCAGCUAACGCGUGAAGUUGACCACCUAGGAAGUACGGUCGCAAGAUUAAAACUCAAAGGAAUUGACGGGGACCCGCACGGCAGUGGAUGAUGGUUAAUUGGUACAGCGCGAAAACCUUACCUACCGCCGACGUGUCUGGAAUCCCGAAGAGAUUUGGAGUGCUCGCAAGAGAACCGGAACACAGGUGCUGCACUGGCUGUCGUCAGCUCGUGUCGUGAGAUGUUGGAGUUAAGUCCCCGCAACGAGCGCAGCCGCUGUCAUUAGUUUUACGAAAGGCACUCAGCCAAGACUGCCGGUGACAAACCGGAGGAAGGUGGGAAUAGCGUGAGUCCUAUGUGGCCCUUAUGGGUAGGGCUUCACACACGAUCAUACAAUGGUCGGGACAGAGGGUCGCCAACCCGCGAGGGGAGCCAAUCAGAAACCCGAUCGUAGUCGGAUCGCAGUCUGCGCUCGACUGCAGUCGAAUCGCUAGUAAUCGCGGAUCAGCAUGUCGCGAGGUGCAAAUACGUUCCCGGGUCUUGUACACACCGCCCGUCACACCAGGAUGCAGUUUUACCAGAAGUAGUUAGCCUAACCGCUAAGGAGGGCGAUUACCACGGUAGGAUUCUUGGCUAGAUGAAGGUCGUAACUAAAGAAGCAAC